GACGAACGCUGGCGGCGUGCUUAAUACAUGCAAGUGGAGCGACGAACCAGGCUUCGGCCUGGGGCAGAGCCGCGAACGGGUGAGUAACACGUGGGUAACCUGCCUCGAUGACCGGGACAACCCGGGGGAAACCCGGGCUAAUACCGGAUGUGCUGUCCCCACAUCAGUGGAGACAGGAAAGGAAGCUUCGGCCUCCGCAUCGAGAUGGGCCCGCGGCCCAUUAGCUUGUUGGUGUGGUAACGGCNCACCAAGGCUGCGAUGGGUAGCUGGUCUGAGAGGACGAUCAGCCACACUGGGACUGAGACACGGCCCAGACUCCUACGGGAGCAGCAGUAGGGAAUCUUGCGCAAUGCGCGAAAGCGUGACGCAGCAACGCCGCGUGGGGAA
rnacentral:rRNA from 1 species